rnacentral:rRNA from 1 species
UACGUAGGGGGCAAGCGUUGUCCGGAUUUAUUGGGCGUAAAGAGCGUGUAGGCGGCCAGGUAGGUCAGCUGUGAAAACUCGAGGCUUAACCUCGAGACGCCGGCUGAAACCCUCUGGCUAGAGUCCGGAAGAGGAGAGCGGAAUUCCUGGUGUAGCGGUGAAAUGCGCAGAUAUCAGGAGGAACACCAAUGGCGAAGGCAGCUCGCUGGAACGGUACUGACGCUGAGGCGCGAAAGCGUGGGGAGCGAACAGG